rnacentral:rRNA from 1 species
UACGAAGGGAGCUAGCGUUGUUCGGAAUCACUGGGCGUAAAGCGCACGUAGGUGGGUAGUUAAGUUAGGGGUGAAAGCCCGAGGCUCAACCUCGGAAUCGCCUCUAAUACUGGCUAUCUAGAGUCCGAUAGAGGUGGGUGGAAUUCCUAGUGUAGAGGUGAAAUUCGUAGAUAUUAGGAAGAACACCGGUGGCGAAGGCGGCCCACUGGAUCGGUACUGACACUGAGGUGCGAAAGCGUGGGGAGCAAACAGG